CCAGAAUUCAUGGAUUGAUGGUCAUGCCUCCCGCUGCCUGUUUACCUCUGCGGGGGUCGCUAUGGGUGUGUGAGAGCAUUUCUAAGAAACUGAAGACAUAAUCAGCAUAAUUCAACAUUACAUUCUGACUAUCAUUUGACGUCAAGAUCAGCCUUCUCCUUUGUGAACAGUUCAGUCAGGUGAUCUUCCAGGUUAGAGAGGUGAGUGUAUGUCUAAAAGCAGCUCUACAGUUUCUCUAAAUAACCUUUUUUUUCCUACUGCUGUGUUCUCUGCUCUGUGCUGUAGUGGGUUUGUGCUCAGUGUGUUGUUUUAUCCUGACUGCGUGUGUGCUCGACGUGAAAACAAUGUUUGAUUCUGAGGACAGAUGGAGCUGCUUUCAUGUGGAGAGUGUCAAUUUUCCUGCAAAAUAAGAGUUUUUUUUUUUUCUUUUUUAAAUGUAGUUUGAAAACUGGAUUCUGUGUUCAGGGUUAAGAGAAAACAUUGGAGGGUUUGCAAUAAUGAAAAAAAAACUUUUAUCCAUUAUGUCAUUUUUUUAACCUUAUUUUCAAGGUUGAAACAUUUCCAUGCACCCAUCCUCCACUGCUUAUCUGGAGUCGGGCCAUCCUGCGCUUCCGGGGGGAAUCUGUGAAGGCGUUCCUAGCCAGCUUGUCCUAGGUCUUCCCCGUGGUCUCUUACCGUUGGGAUGUGCCCUGAAGACCUCACCUGGUUAGAUGUCUAAGCCACCUCAUCUCACCCCUCUCAACACGGAGGAGAAAUUCUACUCUGAGCCCCUCCUAGAUGACCGAGCUUCUCACCCUAUCUCUGAGGGAGAGCCCAGCCACCCUGUCGAGGAAACUCAUUUCAGCCACUUGUACCCAGGGUCUUGCUCAUUCAAUCAGAAAAGAACAAGAAAGGUCACUACCCACAGCAGUGCCUCUGCAUUGUCCGGAAGUUGUUCUCCAUGGUCUCAUUGAACUCCUCCCAUGUCUGGGUCUUAUCCACAGCAACCGCCAAAGCCACAUUCUACUUGGCCUGCUGAUACCUAUCAGUUGCCUCCAGAGUCCCACAGGCCAAAAAGACCUGAUAAGACUCUGUCUUCAGCUUGACGGCAUCCCUCACCACUGUUGUCCACCAAUGGGUUCAGGUAUUACCACCACAACAGGCGCAGACCACAUUAUGGCAACAGCUCUGAUCAGCCGACUCAACGAUUGAGGUAUGGAACUCACAUAACCACUGAAGGGGGUCCCAUGUUGCUUCUUUGGGCCCCAUGGGCAGCAUGCCUCACCACUGUUGUCCACCAAUUGGUUCAGGUAUUACCACCCCAACAGGCCCGACCACCAGGUGCUCGACAUCCAGCCCCCCAUCCUGAUACGUGAGUCCGGGUGAUCCUUAUUCAUCAUAGGGAUUUUGUGAGCUACAUUUUGUCUGGUCCCUACCCCAGGACCUGUUCGCCUCCUUGGGUGACCCGACCAGAGGCAUAAAGCCCCCUAACAACUGGUGGUAUCAUGGGUUGGUUGAAACAUUUUGCAUGUUUAUUUACUCUCAUUUCAAACUCUUUUACAGUGUUUCUCACUG
rnacentral:lncRNA from 1 species